rnacentral:rRNA from 1 species
CAGUGGGGAAUAUUGCACAAUUGGGCGCAAGCCUGAUGCAGCCAUGCCGCGUGUAUGAAGAAGGCCUUCGGGUUGUAAAGUACUUUCAGCAGUGAGGAAGUGGGUAUGUUAUAGCAUACUCAUUUGACGUUAGCUGCAGAAGAAGCACCGGCUAACUCCGUGCCAGCAGCCGCGGUAAUACGGAGGGUGCGAGCGUUAAUCGGAAUUACUGGGCGUAAAGCGCAUGCAGGUGGUUUGUUAAGUCAGAUGUGAAAGCCUGGGGCUCAACCUCGGAAUUGCAUUUGAAAACUGGCAAACUAGAGUACUGUAGAGGGGGUAGAAUUUCAGGUGUAGCGGUGAAAUGCGUAGAGAUCUGAAGGAAUACCGGUGGCGAAGGCGGCCCCCUGGACAGAUACUGACACUCAGAUGCGAAAGCGUGGGGAGCAAACAGGAUUAGAUACCCUGGUAG